AAUGAGAACUUGUUCUCAACUAGCCUACCUGGUUAAAUAAAGGGUGACAUCUACAUCCCUGAAAAAGGUUUUCAUCCUGGAGGAGACUGCAGGAGGAGGCACAAGCAAAUCCAUGUUAUUUAUAAGGCUAUUGUUUAUUUCAAGACACAAUCUGUCAUCCCUGAGGCCAUUUUGGACAUAAAAUGGACAAUACACAGUGAUUCUUGAAUAUACCUAUAGCCUAAUAGAUGCCUUAAUUGUUUUCUACCAACAGGAAAGAACGGUUAGUACAGCAUGCCAAACUGACCCCUGGGUGCCAGAGUGUUCCUGUGCUGUGGUGAAGAGGUCCACCGGGACCAUCACGAAAGAGCUCGGGGCCCAGCUAGAUUACGACGAAUACCAUCAGUAUACUACUGAGUCCUGCCCCUAUACGCCACAGAUGGAGCUGACGGAGAGUGAGAUCAGUGAAGACCAGAACUCGCUGUGAGAACCUGAGAGCUCAGAAUCACAAUCGUCACAGUUCGAGCCAAGAUAUACUAUCGAAGAGUGUGUGUGCAAGAUCCGAAAUACAUAGUCUUUGAUAGCAAUCUGAAGGAGUUGUUCAAUGUCUGCCAUGAGCCAGGAUGUUGAGCAGGUGUCAUCAGUUCAACCCUGAAAAUAAAUUGUUUUGCCAUCACUAUAGGGCCGGGAAGUGCUGGGGGGGUUGUUGAUCCAGGUGAGCUGGCAGAAUGGGCGGGCCGUCCUUGCUGGGUGGCCUGGCGUGGGACCGGGGGUGGCGGUGUAGGGAAAGGUGCCUGUAUCCCCUCCCGCUGGUAGUAAAGGGGCUUGGCUGCAGGGAGGGGCUGGGCGUUGACCCUGGGGGGCAGGAGCGAGCCCCAAUCCCUGCUGCAGCACCAUCCUCUCCCUCUGACGCCAGGAGUACCUGAAACAGGGAGAGAAAUCACCUAUAGCAUGCAUUCUUGUCCCAGACAAGGUGUUGAGCUGCCUUAUCCAGCCUAUGUAGCGGUGAUAACCAAAAUAAAGAAUUAGCCGAUACACUAAAAAAAGGUAGAUAACAAAUAUUCAGAUUCAUAAGUUUAAAAAAAUAUGUUUUUGUUUAGUCUGUAGAGUUAUAGACUACAUUGAUCACAGUCCCAAAACCUGCCCUGUAGAAAGCUCUAUCCAUCUUGAGUAAUAAGAUAUUGGGAAACAGGCUCCCUGAGGAUGUCCCAAACUUCCAACAAAUGGUGUGCAGCAACCAAUCAGAGAUUAGUGGGCGUCACUGGGGGCGUUGACUCCCUGCUGUCACCUCAAGUAUCUGCUGGUCCUCUCAAGUCUGAGUAGAAACUGACUUAUGUGUGUUACAAUUCUGUAAACAGUGUCUUUAUUAACUGAGUAGAAAAUGACUGAUUUACUUUUUUAAAUUUGUUGAACUUUUUAUAAAGAGUGUAUAAAAUUAAAGGAGAAAGUGCUUUUAUAAAAAAAAAAA